rnacentral:tRNA from 1 species
GUAUCCAUGGCUGAAUGGUGAAAGCACCUAAUUCACAAUUUUGGAACUCGUAGGUUCCAUUCCUACUGGAUGCG